rnacentral:misc_RNA from 1 species
CCCGCCUCCGUGCGUGAUAUAUCUCAGUGCCCAGCGCCCACUCUGUAUGGGGAGGAGCCAAGCACCCUGCAGGCCCGCCCUCGGGUACGGCCGGCGGGAGGGGGGAACCCUUGGUGUCGGCAGGACAGGCGUGGGGCUGGCGCUGUGCCGAAGAGACUUGCGGGCAUGAUGAUGCCUGUACAAAGUCGCUACGAGCGGUGCCGACGGUUCAGCGAAUAUACGCAUCCACCGACUGUGUUUUUUUGUUUUCGCGUGAGCUGCGAUGUGGUGAGUGUGGGCCCGGCUCCGUGGCGAAGCUUCGAUGCAGGCCUGCAUUGUGCGAGAGACGCAUUUCACCCUAGCAGGCCUGCGAGGCGUUUGAUCUGCCGGGUUUGCAGGACUCCGGCGCAGCAAGAAAAAAGCGGCACGGCGCUGGCGUCUCCGUGCUCACGCAGAAGGACAUAUGCACAGGUGCGGGCUCUACUGCUCGAUGUGAAAAGUCACCACACCGUAUUAAAUGGAUGCGGCGGCUUUAGGCGACGGAGGGAGAGAGGCAUGGCAUGCAGGCAGAGCGCGCAGGGUGCCAGAGGGCACUGACCUGCGGCUGGUCAGCUUCCUCCCUGAGCUCGUCCGGCAUGCGCCUAAACUGCCCCCUGCUGCCUGCUCGACGGACGCUCACCGCCUCCGCCCUCCAGCACGACCCUGAAGGCGGCCCCCCUAGACCAAGGCAUGCCGUGCACUCGGGUCGGUGCGGCGCCGAUCGCGCAGCAGUUGUGCGAGGGUGUAUGUGUGUGUGGGAAGGGGUAGAAAGACCACGUCAGGCGCAUGGCCCGAUGCAACGGGCGGCGUUUCGUCCUCGACGACGCGGAUGCGGCAGCAGUGCAACCGUGGCGUGUGGGCUUUGGGUGCAUAUGUGUCGACGGGUUCGUGGUGGAAUGACAUGUCAAAGACAAAAAGCAAAUGCUAAGGAGGUUGCUGUUUUUUUUUUUUUCGCUGACGGGCUGAAUGACGAGCUGAAACAACGGCGGAUGCUGUCGUGCGGCACUCGCAAGCAAAAAAGGGGAUGUUGAGGAUGAGCGCGAGGAAAUGCGAGGAAAAUCAAAGAAGACCGCAAGGGGUGGUGCGCUUCUUGUUCCCGCUCCUGCGAUGCAGCCUCACGUACUUGCUCUUAUCUUGGCGACGACUUUUUUUUUCCGGCUACCCCAGUUUUGUUUUCUACCGCUUGUCGCGUUUCGUCCUUUUUUUUUUACGCUUUGCUUCGUGCGGUGACGGCGUUUUCCAGUGGCGGCGCCAUCCCAGCGUGUGCGAGGCUCUCUGUGAACUGGGCGGCUGUGCUGUUCUCGCGUAUCGCGUUUCCGGUAUACAUGUGUGUAUGGGUAUUUGUAUUUGCAGGGGUAUGAAAUUGCGUAUGGGUUUUCUUUUUUUUUUCACCGGUUUCUGUCCUGUGUACCACUUUUCAUUGCUCCUAUUUCUGGUUUCUCUCUCAUUGAACCCGUUCAAAUGCCCGCUCGCCAAGAAGCGAUGGACGAGCCACCGCUGCCGCUGCUCCUCGUUGCCUUCGCCUUACGCUAGCUUUGCGCGUGAAUGGCUGUUGUCGCACUGUGAGGCCACGGGAGACGCAUGCGCCCGGAUCACUAAUGUGGCGGAGGCGUUGAUGUGUGCAGAGGUUGAAGGGCCAACCGAUGGGCCGACUCGUCGGAGGCACAUGUCUACUUUCCCGCGACGCGGCUGCGCAAGCAAAAAGCGCUGCCACCUUUGCUAUCAACGCAUUCUGCUGAACCUCUCUUGCCUCUUUCGUUCGACUCAUCAUCGGCACCUCUAACAUCUCUCUGCUAUCGUUUUGCUAAUUCCUCUCCUCACCCUCCUUUCCAUCUCCUCACACAUCGCGUGACGAUCGUAACGGACGGCUGGAAAG